rnacentral:rRNA from 1 species
GUAAGGAAUAUUGGUCAAUGGGCGGAAGCCUGAACCAGCCAUGCCGCGUGCAGGAAGACGGCCCUACGGGUUGUAAACUGCUUUUGUACGGGAAUAAACCUUGAUACGUGUAUCAAGCUGAAUGUACUGUAAGAAUAAGGAUCGGCUAACUCCGUGCCAGCAGCCGCGGUAAUACGGAGGAUCCGAGCGUUAUCCGGAUUUAUUGGGUUUAAAGGGUGCGUAGGCGGCCUGUUAAGUCAGAGGUGAAAGGCGGUAGCUUAACUAUCGGAGUGCCUUUGAUACUGACGGGCUUGAAUGCAGCUGAGGUAGGCGGAAUGUGACAAGUAGCGGUGAAAUGCAUAGAUAUGUCACAGAACACCAAUUGCGAAGGCAGCUUACUAAAGUGUGAUUGACGCUGAGGCACGAAAGCGUGGGGAUCAAACAGGAUUAGAAACCCUAGUAGUCC